rnacentral:pre_miRNA from 1 species
AAAAAGGCAAACCCUGGGUUUCCGUGUCCAACUUUAACUGUCCGUCUUAUAUAAAAUAUUUUUUAUAAUUCGUAUUUUUAUUGUUGUUAGAUGAUAAAACAUGAUUAAUAUUUUAUACGUGACUUGUCUUUUUAAUUUUUUUUAUAAUUUUUUCAAAUAAGACGGACGGUCAAAUGUUGGACACGGAAACCAGGGUUUGUCUUUUU